GCCGCCGUCUCUUUGUUCCUCCCUUCUCAUAUCUCACGUGCUUGAUACUCAUUUUUUAAGUUUCUUUAUUAAAUUUCUAACCCAUCUCACCACCUCUUUAAUAUUUUGGAUUGAGUUCAUUCCAUUAAAUUUCUGAAGUUAUCAAACAAGUUCAUACAGCUGCUUCUUUGUCUCUUCCCUUCUUCAGAUCUACUGUUGCACUGCACACCGUCUCACUUUCUUCCAUUUUCCAGUUUUUUUUUUUUUUUA
rnacentral:lncRNA from 1 species